rnacentral:rRNA from 1 species
AGCGAACGCUGGCGGCAGGCCUAACACAUGCAAGUCGAACGAACCCUUCGGGGUUAGUGGCGGACGGGUGAGUAACACGUGGGAACGUGCCUUUAGGUUCGGAAUAACUCAGGGAAACAUGUGCUAAUACCGAAUGUGCCCUUCGGGGGAAAGAUUUAUCGCCUUUAGAGCGGCCCGCGUCUGAUUAGCUAGUUGGUGAGGUAAUGGCUCACCAAGGCUACGAUCAGUAGCUGGUCUGAGAGGAUGACCAGCCACAUUGGGACUGAGACACGGCCCAAACUCCUACGGGAGGCAGCAGUGGGGAAUCUUGCGCAAUGGGCGAAAGCCUGACGCAGCCAUGCCGCGUGGAUGAUGAAGGUCUUAGGAUUGUAAAAUCCUUUCACCGGUGAAGAUAAUGACUGUAGCCGGAGAAGAAGCCCCGGCUAACUUCGUGCCAGCAGCCGCGAUAACAC